rnacentral:rRNA from 1 species
AAUAGAUACCCCGGUAGUCCACGCCGUAAACGAUGAGUGCUAGGUGUCGGGGGGUUCUACCCUCGGUGCCGAAGGUAACCCAUUAAGCACUCCGCCUGGGGAGUACGGCCGCAAGGCUGAAACUCAAAGGAAUUGACGGGGGCCCGCACAAGCGGUGGAGCAUGUGGUUUAAUUCGAAGCAACGCGAAGAACCUUAUCAGGGCUUGACAUCCCGCUGACCGCUUCAGAGAUGGAGCUUCCCUUCGGGGCAGCGGUGACAGGUGGUGCAUGGUUGUCGUCAGCUCGUGUCGUGAGAUGUUGGGUUCAGUCCCGCAACGAGCGCAACCCUUAUCGCUAGUUGCCAGCAUUCAGUUGGGCACUCUAGCGAGACAGCCGGUGAAAGCCGGAGGAAGGUGGGGAUGACGUCAAAUCAUCAUGCCCCUUAUGUCCUGGGCUACACACGUGCUACAAUGGCCGGUACAAUGGGUCGCCAACCCGCGAGGGGGAGCUAAUCCCACAAAAACCCGGUCUCAGUUCGGAUCGCAGG